AUCGAGCUGAUGAGUCCCAAAUAGGACGAAACGCGCGUCCUGGAU
rnacentral:hammerhead_ribozyme from 1 species